GUUAACUAUGAAGGGGUUCGAGUUUCUGGCUAUGGAGGGUGGUUCCUUCUUAGGCUUUCACUUCAUGAUCCUGUCCUUCCUCUUAACAUCGAGGCACCAAGCCAUGAAGAUGCUGUGAAACUUGGACUCGAAGUGGCAGCUGCUGUGAAGGAAUUUCAAGCUUUGGACACUUCUGCAUUAGACAAAUUUGUCCAACCCUAGUAAACUGAGUGGCUACCUCUUUGAGCUCUUACAGUUUGUGUUGCAGUGGAUGCCUCCUGUUUUGCAAUGAGCUGACCUGCUAAUGUAAGAAUGGUAGUUUUGAGGUUUGAGUAAGUCUUUUUACACUUCUUUUGGGAAAGUGACUAGAAAAUCAGUCAAGGACUUGUGCAAGAAUACGCAAUUUUCCAGGUUCCAAAUAAUAGAGAUGAGUCUGCACACGUUUCCAAUCUUAACAGCAACAUCUAUUAUCGUGCCUUACACUCUGAAAAACUUGCGAAUUACCUGAGUUUUAUGUACAAUUUUUUUAUUAUCAAUAACAAUUAAGUUUUAUAUCUCAUAUUCUGAGGUUGAUUGUAUAAAAAAUUAAAUCAAAAAAAUCAAAAUAG